AUCCCGAUCCUGCUUGGUGCUGGAAGGUGCUGGCUUGCAGUGCAGUCUUUGCUUUGCAAGCACUGUGCAGGGAGCAGCAGGAUGAGGAAACAGCCAUACGUACACACUGCGUUUCCCACGACUUGCUCUUCUUCCAAGCAGUGGUUCUGAGCCCUGGAAGUCAUCCUCUGACACGGUGAGCUGUGAGUGUGCACACAUUGUGCUCCUGCGCUGCUCUGACUUUCCUCAUCUACAAACAGAAGCAAUCCUAAAUAGCACCUAUACUUGCUGCUGCACCUUCAUGCUAAGUUAGUUUGAAUAGAUGAAGUAAAUGAAUGAGAUGAAAGCUUAGGUUUUUUUAUUACCACUCCAUUCCCAACCCACAGCUGCCAAUAGAGUCUCCAGAAGCACCGCUGGUCUGCAUGGACUUUUUACAUGUUUAGAAACAAACCUUCUGCGCCUUCUGGUUCACAUGUUGAGAUGAAUGGUCUGUUUGACGAAGUGUCUGUCAUUACUUAACAAAUUCUACAAUGUGUUUUCUGGAGGGUGAGGGGAGGUGCCUCCUGGGUUAGGUACCAUUGGACACAGUCUGUAGAAUUAACCAUGGGGAAUCCGGAAUUCAUGUGAGCCCCAGGUACCUGGCACUGAGCUGGGGAGGUAUUCUGAAGUGAAGCUGGGGAAGCUGUGCGAUGCCACAGGGAACAGAGUCUGGGAAAAGCUGCAGAUUUAAAUGUUCUCACUGUUUCACCAACUUAUUAAUUCUUUUGUUCUAUAUCCAUGUCUACGUGGCUGUUAGAAGCAGACCUCUUUCAUCAAGCACAGCUCACACGAUGCACUGCAGCCGUCGCAGUGAGUCCGGGUCGGUUUGGCCCCUGGGCUGUCAGCAGCAACACCUCAGCAGGGUCAGCACCCUCCCAGCGCUGCCCAGCAGCAGCCCUUUGCUCGAAGGGACCUCGAGUGCAUGAUGGCAAUUUGUCCUCCACUGCAAAACACCGAAGCCAGAAAAUCAAGCCUUGUAAGUUUGGAAUUAUGCAACGUGACAGAUAAUCAAACCCAUUUUGUUAUGGCCUGAGCUACCCACCCUUUUGGAGUACCGGAUUUGAUUUACUGUUGAUACAGUCAUUCACAUCAAUUCAAAUCUGUGAGGCUUUAUUUCAGAGGGUACAAAAAUCCCACCCAUUACUCACGUGUGCUCACUGCUUCUCCAGUUUGGCUCAUAGCAAGCUGUACCUGGUGCUUUGUGAAGGCCUCGUGCAGCACACAUGCAAUGCUGUGCCCAUGCCCUGGCCUGGGGGCAGCUGCAGAGCAAAGCCCCCCACGUUAGCAGCAGCACGCCAGGCACACAGCCUGGGAGGGAAGUGUUUGCUCAGUUGUGAGUUGUUUGUGGUCAGAACGCUUUGGGGAAGUCAGUUCUAGGAAAGCACCACUUUUCCCAGUUGUUCCCCUUUUCUUGACCAGUAACCCCAAUGCUUUCAUGCUGUGGGGCAGCACGCGGCUGUCAGUCACUAUUUCUGUGACCCAGUUUUCUUACCUGGGUACUCUGUGAGCUGAGCUGGCCUGGAUGUGCAGUGACAGCUGGGGGAAUAGGGAGCAACACCUCUUUCCUCGUGUACAAAAUGUAACUUAAAUUCCAAACGGAACCACACCUAUGUAAAAAAUCAGCUGUGGAUCAGUAGUAUUUGAUGUUGUGUAGGUUGGAGCAAAAGCCUUGAAUGGUUGAUGCUGAGUCCCCGUAACACUGUAAAAAUAUUUGCAGCUGAACGACUGCAACAUUUUGCCUGCCUUCUCCGGGCUGCCUCAAGUGUGCUUAUGAAACUAAUGACAUUGCUGAUUUGCUCAGGAAAUAGAGCUCCCUCUGUUCUGGCCCAGGUCUUGCCCAUGCAGCAUGUUCUCUAUUAGGCUGCAGCAGGCUCUGAUGCCAGUGUCAGCUCAAUUUCCUCCUCUUAAGUGCAUGCCAAGAGCUGGAUGCCAAAAGCUGGCAGGGGAACAGCUCAGAAGAACCCAGGAAUGAAAGAGGACACGGGAAGGAUGCCAGAGCCUAAAGAAGUGAGAUAGAGGAACCGUCGGGAUGGCGACUGAGAAAGAACUGCCACUCCCAGCACUGCUUCCCUUAGCCUUGUAGAAGAGAAAGGAACCGUUAAUGCCAGAUACAGCUUUUGUCCUUUUUCUACAAGUAUUUCUGGGCUAUCUGCUUGUCUGUCUGGGGACAAGAGAUAACUAAACCCCCAGACAAAUCCUCUGCCAAAAUGCCCUGUUCCACACACACAUUUAAGUGAGCAGAGAAUGAGCAGAUGACCAGACGGGAAGUGAGAGGGCUGCUGGUGCUGCGUGGUGGCUGCAGGAGGGCCGUGGGGCUGCUCGUGGCAGUCAGGUGCUGUGCAGACCUACAGAGGUCAGGUCAUGCUGCCUGCAGACACGAGGCAUCCAGUGUGCUUGUAAAGGAGGAGAGAGGGGCUGAGAAGGGCCUUCAGCCUGUGAUGUGCACAGAGCUGUGGGAGCAGUCAGUGCAGCUGACUUUUUUGGUGUGUGACAAGGCAGCCUGAAGCAGGGGAUGGUGGGGAAUGAGAGCUGCCUGCAGUUGCAGAGCUACUUGGAGUGAUAUUGCUCUUAGAAGAGAGCGAGGAUGAAAAAUGAAUACCCGGAGUGCAGGUAAAUAGCACCCAGCAACAAGAGUGAGAUCUGGGCUUCUGUGUAUGGUUUGGUGACACUGAACUGCCAUUCAGCACCUGAGGCUGUGAGCACUGGAGAAAGUGCUGCUGGUGCUUGGCCCACGCGGGCUGCAGCUCUGCACUGAGCUGUGUGUGAUUCCACGUCCUGUCUCCUCGUCUCCUCUCUCCCCUUGUCCUGUUUGUUCUGAUUUUCCUCUUGUCAGGACAGGAUCUUCAGGCACGGCUCUUUCUCAAGAGCUGACUGCCUCUCUGGAGUAUUUUAAAUAGGAAGAGAAGGCUCUUCUCUCUUCACACCAGCCUUCAAAGUGAUUUUAAAUUAAAAUCUCCCCCAAAAUAUUGUCUCUCAGACAAGAAAAGCUGGCCUGGAGUCACUGUGAGCACGUAGGCUGUGUUGUCAUUGCGGGGCUGUGGCAGCUGCCAGUUGGAUUGGAAGCAUCGCGUGGCACUGCUGUGGGAAAUGACACCGUCGUGCUGGAAUUUACAAUGAAGCUGUGAAUGUAGCCGGAGCCCUGGGCUUCGCCGGGAGAAGGCCCCCUCGGCUGGCUUUAUUCAGCUCUAAUGAGGGGCCUGAGUUCGCCGUGAAAGGCGUGCUUUGCAUUUGGCCCCUUUCCUCCAUCAAUUGCUGUCAGCGUAACAGAAGGCCCCGCGCAGCUCCCCCACCCCGUGCGCCCCUCCGGGCCGCGCUGCGCGAGGCCGCCCGGCCCCCGCCACGCAGCGCUGAGCCGCACACAAUGCCGCUUUGUUCGGGCCGCACAGCGGAGCUGCAGUUUCCCAGGCUUUGCCUCUCUCCCCUCCCGCUGCGGCGACGCGGGGUUGCGUGAGCGGGCGCCGAACAAAGGCGCGAGGGCUCAGACAUCCGCGCCGCCCGCGGUGGUGACCGGGCUGCGCCGAGGGUGGGAAGCGGGCCAAAACGUGACAGCCCCGGGCCGUGCGCCGCUGGCUGCCACGCCGGGCGUCCUGCGAGGGAAACGAACCGGGAUGUGCGGCCGCGGGCCGUGGCGCAGAGCGGGAGCGCGUCCGUACGAGAGGAGCGCCGCGCCCCGCCCGCACCGGGCGGUCACGGCUGGGCGCGGGGGCGGGACGGCCCCACUGCGCGCCUCUGCGCCCGCUGACCGCUGUCGGUCCGUGGCAGCUGCAGGCUGUGGUUGCACGUUACGGAUCCCAAAGUGCCUACAGACACAGCGACUAACUCUGCACUGCAGAUGGAGAAACGGCGAUCACAUGUGCCACAUUAAUUGCAGACAAUAAAUAGCAGUGACCCCGAUGUCAGAAAGCGGGUCGGUGCCCAGCAGCCACGGUCCCAUUGGAGCGGCUCCUUGGCUUCAGCUGGCCUCGGUGCAAAACGUCCGUGAAAGCUCUGCUCUGUGGGUUGAGCCCAGAAACGGCUGUCGUCUGCUUCCCCGUGCCCUGCUGCCGGGAGCCACAUCGUCCAGAAGGAAAGCGGCGGAAGAUCUGAUUCCUAUUUGUAGGAUGCAGAGGCACAAGCAGUCCUGAUCCGCACGGUGUGCAGCCGCUGCUGGGGUAAACUGAUGGAGGAGCAGCACAUCCCGCAUGUGAUCAGAAUGGGCUCAGUCCUACAAAUGAAAAUUGCAGCCAUAUAACCUGCAGAGCGGAGCUGAAAACAGCUCUGUGUACGGUAGACUCAAAGUCUGCAGGAUCUGGCCUCGUGUCUGCACUCAUUGAUACUGCUAAAUGUGAUUGAUUGUUCAUAAACACCAAUUCAGGGAUGAUAAAAAGACGUUGUUAAAAGAGCAGCGAGCUCCUCCUCUCAUGCAAGUUCUUUUUUUGGUCUGUUGCUACAGCAACUCUGUGCUAAGAACAAAGAUGACAGCAAGAUAUUAAAUUUUACAGCAACUCAA